rnacentral:rRNA from 1 species
UCUCAGUUCGGAUUGUAGGCUGAAACUCGCCUACAUGAAGCUGGAGUUACUAGUAAUCGCAGAUCAGAAUGCUGCGGUGAAUGCGUUCCCGGGUCUUGUACACACCGCCCGUCACACCACGGAAGUUGGGGGCGCCCGAAGCCACUUAGCUAACCCUUUUGGGAAGCGAGUGUCGAAGGUGAAAUCAAUAACUGGGGUGAAGUCGUAACAAGGUAGC